GGGAUCCACCUCCAUCCCCAAGCCUCCUCCGGCUUUCACAACGUGCUGUUGCCCAAAAGUCACCUUGCCUGAGAGCGGUGGAGCCCGGCGGCCGCGCUGCCGUGGGGCGCGGAUGAUGGAAGGGGGGAGGCCCACGGCUGCCUGCGGUUGCCCGGCGCCAGGGAGAGCAGAGCCCUGCACCGUCAGCGCUUUCAGCAGCGAAGGUUGGAGCAGGGCUGGCUGCUGCUGCCUCCCGGCUGGCCGGGCGCCAGGCUCCCAGGCCUCGCUCACCUGCCAGCUUUGCGUGGAGAGAGCGGAGCAGAUGAGGGGAAAGAAGAAAGAGAGUUGUGGCUUGCUGUAUGAGCAUGCUGGAGCAGCCCUUGGAGUGUCAGGAGCCUGGAAAUAUUCAUGUUCCUCCAUCCUGCAAGAGGCAGGAGCAGGAACCCCAGUGUCAUUCCCCUCCAGGAGUCACCCCAGGACGAAGCUGGCAGCUGCCUGGAGCCACGGCCUCGCCGCCCCGGCAGAUCCCAGAGGCCAGCGGUUCACGAUGAAUUUCUAAUUGUUUCCUCCAACAAUGAGACAUCCUGUUCAGAGCCGGGCGGCGCAACAAAGCCCAGCGCCGGCGAGCAGGGCCCCUUCCUGCUGAGCAGCAAUGGGGCGAUGCCGAGUGCUCCCUGCCACGAGCAGGGGCACAGGAAGGCUCCGCUGCCCCCUCCCCACCCCAUCCACUUAACACGCCCGCUCUCCAGCCUCCACCUUGAUUAAAACAGCUUAACGACUCCAGCAAGAGCUCUCGAGGGGGCGGGGAGCCGCCAAGAGGUAUUUGAUGGAUUCACUUUGGCAACCGUCGGCUACCUUGUCAUGCCAAUAAAAUGAUUGUCAUUGA